UGCUCCUCUGGAUUAGUGGCGAACGGGUGAGUAACACGUGAGCAAUCUGCCCUUGACUCUGGGAUAAGCGCUGGAAACGGCGUCUAAUACCGGAUACGACCCUCGGAGGCAUCUCCUGUGGGUGGAAAGAACUUCGGUCAAGGAUGAGCUCGCGGCCUAUCAGCUUGUUGGUGAGGUAACGGCUCACCAAGGCGACGACGGGUAGCCGGCCUGAGAGGGUGACCGGCCACACUGGGACUGAGACACGGCCCAGACUCCUACGGGAGGCAGCAGUGGGGAAUAUUGCACAAUGGGCGCAAGCCUGAUGCAGCAACGCCGCGUGAGGGACGACGGCCUUCGGGUUGUAAACCUCUUUUAGCAGGGAAGAAGCGAGAGUGACGGUACCUGCAGAAAAAGCACCGGCUAACUACGUGCCAGCAGCCGCGGUAAUACGUAGGGUGCAAGCGUUGUCCGGAAUUAUUGGGCGUAAAGAGCUCGUAGGCGGUCUGUCGCGUCUGCUGUGAAAACCCGAGGCUCAACCUCGGGCUUGCAGUGGGUACGGGCAGACUAGAGUGCGGUAGGGGAGAUUGGAAUUCCUGGUGUAGCGGUGGAAUGCGCAGAUAUCAGGAGGAACACCGAUGGCGAAGGCAGAUCUCUGGGCCGUAACUGACGCUGAGGAGCGAAAGCGUGGGGAGCAAACAGGCUUAGAUACCCUGGUAGUCCACGCCGUAAACGUUGGGAACUAGAUGUGG
rnacentral:rRNA from 1 species